rnacentral:lncRNA from 1 species
AAAAGGCCGCGGUGGCAGCAAUGCCAGAGGUGAAGAGCCGCAGCGGCGGCAGGGGAGGGAAAUGCACCGCAAGAACAGCAAUUUGCUGAAGCGAUGAGAGGAAAGGAAAAAGGCCGCGGUAGCAGCAAUGCCAGAGGUGAAGAGCCGCAGCGGCGGCAGGGGAGGGAAAUGCACCGCAAGAACAGCAAUUUGCUGUAGCGAUGAGAGGAAAGGAAAAAGGCCGCGGUAGCAGCAAUGCCAGAGGUGAAGAGCCGCAGCGGCGGCAGGGGAGGGAAAUGCACCGCAAGAACAGCAAUUUGCUGUAGCGAUGAGAAGAAAGGAAAAAGGCCGCGGUAGCAGCAAUGCCAGAGGUGAAGAGCCGCAGCGGCGGCAGGGGAGGGAAAUGCACCGCAAGAACAGCAAUUUGCUGUAGCGAUGAGAAGAAAGGAAAAAGGCCGCGGUGGCAGCAAUGCCAGAGGUGAAGAGCCGCAGCGGCGGCAGGGGAGUAAAGUGCAGUGCAAGGACAGCACAAAGGCUGUAAUGCCAGAUGUGACGGCGACGGCGACCUCGCCG